rnacentral:lncRNA from 1 species
GCUGGGUCAGAAGAACUUCAGAUUGAGCCUCUUGAAACAUUUGCUCUUGGAAUUCUCCCUCUCAGGAAACUAACAGCCUGCUAUGAAGCCCAAGCCACAAAGAGAGGCCAAGGGGAAAUAAACAGAGUGUGAUUAUAUGCAAAACCUACAAGAAUGAGGACCUCCAAACUCAGUGUACAGAGUGAUUUUCUGCUGAAACAAUUGGAUAAGCUACAUAAAUGACGGCAUAUUGGAUGGUGACAGCGCCUCUAGAGUGUGUACUUCUGAUAUGCAAAGACAUACCAUGUCAGUUUACAACUGUAUUGUAUUUUGUUCUGUUUUCCCUUAUGAUGAUUCACUGGCUGUGAAGCUUUUAAAAAAUUGUGUGACUGACCAGCAGCAGUGGCUCACAUCUGUAAUCCCAGCACUUUGGGAGGCCGAGAAAAUAAAAGAGACAUCAGUGUGUGAAUGACGACUUUCUGUUGCUGACUUGGAAGACAGAGGAAUUGGGUCAUGAGCCGAGGAAGGUGGGCAGCUUCUAAAAGGCGGAAAAGGCAGGGGAUGGCUCUGGCAGAGAAUCACUCCUGAGUACAACUUUCUGGCGGAAGCUCUAGGGCAGUCAACAUAUACUGACUGUUCAACACAGGAGUGUAAAGGCCUGGCUCCCUGGUGCCAAUGCAGAACAAAUCAAAAGGAAUAUGCCAGCUCCAAAGCACCCAUAGGGGUGGACAGAGGCUUCUACUUGUUCUUCAUCACAAAUAUUUCUUCCUCUAACCAUGUUUCAGCCCCCACUAUUCCAUGGUUGAGGAUUUCAAGAGCACUCCUGAUGAACAUCCAGUGCACUAAUCCCCUUUUCAGUGGGCUUACUGGGGACUUUUAAAUAAUAUUAUAUGACUUUACAAACAGAGUAAGAACCAUAAAGCAGUCUAAUGUUCAUUAUCCA